UGUCAAGCAGUGGCGCUCGACUACGCGAGUUCUCGCCUAUAGCAGCAACACGAGAACAUUCGCUCUACUUUCCUCAUACUAGGCCUAUAUGGGGGGACCAUCUGGAGGUGGGGAGCGGGAGUCAGCUGCUCCGCACACGGAGGCUCGGAGCCUGAAUCCGUCUCGGCUCAUUCUGGGGGGGAUCAUCUGCGAGGUGGUGGGCUAUAGCCGUGGAGAAUGCGUUCUCUUCAUCAUUAAGUGAAUGUUACCUCUCAGACCCGCUCCCAAUAGAAAGGGGCGUUGGUCCUUGUGUGUUUUUCUUAAAUAAUAUAGAUAGAAUAAAAAACUAUUUGUCACGUUAAAAAAAAAAAUAUUUGAACUGUAAAUUAUGAUAAUUGUGAGUUACUAAAAGAAAGGUAAGUCAUAGUCGAUUGGUAAUUAAAAAAUGUUUUUAUUUCAUUUUCCACCCUCAUAUUAUGUGUGCAGACAUCAUAACCAUGUUUUGUAUCGUUAUAUUUAUCUGAGAGGCAACGUGUAGGCCUAUUGUCUUCUGAUCACAAAAGCUGAUCAAAGGUGACCCAAAUUUGCUUGGGGAUAACAAUAAUUAAAAAACAACAACAUAAUAAUAGAUCAUAAUAAUACUGAAUCAAACUCCCGGAAAAUCCAUACAGCUUGUGUGGUUCUUGAUAAAACAUAAUACUUUUAAACUUCCACCGAGACCUCCCGUCUCGAUGGAAGCAGCCUUAACCCGUAUUGGGGGUGACGUCUUCUUUUUUGAGCGAAUUUACGGGGCGAGGCCCUCAUGAUCUCCUCAAAUUUGCAUGUAAAUGGCGACAUCAGCCUGCGCGCGUGCCACGGGCCAGCGGGGCCCCCCAGAUGUCAAGGCAGAGUCAACCAGCCGGCCGCUGCCCAGCUGUCCGUCCACAGAUCCAAACACACAGAGACUCAACACUUUCAUACUCACCUGCAUUGUUUUGUAAAGAAUUACACGGGGAAACACAAAUACAUCUGUAAUGGAUUCAAUACAAACCCUGUUUGGUCACGGUAAUAUCCCAGACACGUUGAAUAACAUUUUAUAGUUUUAUUCAUAUUGCACAUUGGGCCUUAUUAAAAUGCACAUGUAUUUAUGCAUCAUUAUAUAUUUUAGAUGAUGGCCUUAUUCGACAAAUAUGCGUAUUACAGGGAAGGAAGUCUCGUCUUAAAGGCCUGUUGGACAACUUUAGAUCUCGUCUAAUCUAACUUUGGGCUUUGCUCAACUUGUUUGGCACGCCCCGGUUGGUCGUGUCGCAAUUGUUUUAACGUUCGUUUCAAUUUCAAUCAUUACUUAAAUAGGCCAAUUUCUACCUCAUAAGUGAUGUAGAAAUCAAAUAAAAGCCAUUCUCAGAGCGGAGCAACAGUUAGUUGUAAAACAUGCAUGCAUGGGCCUAUUGCUUUAUCUAUAUUUUAAUAUAUGCUGUCUAAUGUAUUCGGAAUCAAUGGGCCUAUACAUUUACACGAGCCAAAUUGUUAAAUAAUUGAUUAGGUUUUGUGAGGUAUGAUUAAAAGGAAGGAAACAAUAGCCUGAUAAAUGCAUGGAUUCGAUAAGACAGAAGAAGAACAGGCUGCUAUUAAAAAAUACACCAUCUAAAUCUCAAAUCAUUUAUUUUCUUCCCCCUUUCUGAGUAAACAAUAAUUGACCUGAGAGACAGGGGCUAAGGACGAGAUCAAUCAGUGUGUGUGGAGCAGUGUGUGGAGGCGGUGGGCGAGCAGCGCCCCUCUUUGGUAACAUUACAGAUCACUGUUCCGGAGCGGGACAGCUGUUGUCUUCCGUGAGUAAAUAGCUACAUCUCCACAUACCCUUUGAAUUAUUAACCAGCCCCAACAACCCCAGUACAAUGACCGAAUAAGAUAUAAGAUAUAGGGCCAAUACUAAUCACUGCACGGGGGCAAAAAAAUAACUCCACCAUUUUAAUUUAAUUUCCUAAUAUUCAUAAUAGGGCUUAACUUAAAUUUGCAGUCUUAAGGAACCGUUGUUCAGCAAAACAACAGUUCCUUAACGGUUUUAUAUGCAUGCAUGAUUUUAUUGUUAUCAUUAUUAUUAUUGAUAUUAUUGGAGUGUUAGUAUUAGUAUUAUUAGCCUGUUAGCCUAUUGUUAUUAUUAUUUGGCCACUCAAUAAGUCUAUCAUUGUUUUUGAUAUUAUUAUUGUUGUAACUAUUGUUAUUUUCCAUAUUAUUGUUGUUGUCAUUACCAUUCUAUACAACUGUGUAAAAAUACAAAUAAACACAUUUGUGACCCUUUA